AGGGGUAUAGUUCAGUUGGUAGAAUAUCGGUCUCCAAAACCGCAGGUCGUGGGUUCAAGUCCUACUGCCCCUG
rnacentral:tRNA from 3 species